CCAAGAAAGAGACCGGCCACUCCAGAUUGGUGGUGGCAGUUUUAAUAAGCAAAGGGAACUUGCUCAGGAGGCUUGCCUUGGAUGGCUUUAGGACGGUAGAUCUCUGCACCUGCCCCUGCCAAAUCAGAAAAGAUUACAUAGAGCCCUUCACUGGGUUCAGUCACCGACACUGUGCAGAGGGUCAGCACCACAGCAUUACCUGAAGGCUGUGUCCUUGGGGCAGCUUCUGGGAGCCCGGAAGGCCGGUUGAUCACAAAUCACAAGCACAAGUUCACUGGCUGUGGUCUGGCUUGAAUCAUACCAUCAAGGUUCUCAUUGGAGAGUACAUUGGAAUACAUUUUCACUGAAUAUUGAAAAUUUUUUGAAACAAGAGAUCGACGACUAUAUUCAAAAUUUCAAACACAUUUUUCAACUCUUAACCGGCCAUUUAUUUUCACUUGAGAAACCUCCUGAAGAUUCAGCUGACUGAUUAAGACAGAAAGAAUCAUAAAAGUGAAUUCUUCAUUAUGUUGUCAAUUUAAGAUU